UACGUAGGGUGCAAGCGUUGUCCGGAAUUAUUGGGCGUAAAGAGCUCGUAGGCGGUUUGUCGCGUCUGCUGUGAAAACCUAAGGCUCAACCUUGGGCUUGCAGUGGGUACGGGCAGACUAGAGUGCGGUAGGGGUGACUGGAAUUCCUGGUGUAGCGGUGGAAUGCGCAGAUAUCAGGAGGAACACCGAUGGCGAAGGCAGGUCACUGGGCCGCAACUG
rnacentral:rRNA from 1 species